CGAAGACCGUGAACCCCAAGACAGAGGUGGCUCGAGCGCAGGCAGCGCUGGCGGUCAACGUCAGCGCGGCGCGGGGUUUACAGGACGUGCUGAGGACCAACCUGGGGCCCAAAGGCACCAUCAAGAUGACCUUCAUCCCAGAAUAAUCACUGAAGGAUUUGAAGUUGUGAAGGAAAAGGCCCUUCAGUUUUUGGAAGAAGUCAAAGCUGUAAUGGGCUCCAUUUUGGCCAUUAAAAGAAAA
rnacentral:lncRNA from 1 species